rnacentral:ncRNA from 1 species
AGUUGAAAAAGGCAAACCUGACGAAAGGAGGGGACGCAAAGUCACGGGUCUAA